ACACGACUACAUUAGAUACCCGCGUAGUCCUAGCCGUAAACGAUACUCGCUAGGUGUCGGCCACGGUGCGACCGUUGUCGGUGCCGUAGGGAAGCCGUGAAGCGAGCCACCUGGGAAGUACGGCCGCAAGGCUGAAACUUAAAGGAAUUGGCGGGGGAGCACAACAACGGGUGGAGCUUGCGGUUUAAUUGGAUUCAACGCCGGAAAUCUUACCGGGACCGACAUCGACAUGAAGGCCAAGCUGAAGACUUUGCCGGAUUAGCUG
rnacentral:rRNA from 1 species